CCUACGGGCGGCAGCAGUGAGGAAUAUUGGUCAAUGGGCGGGAGCCUGAACCAGCCAAGUCGCGUGAGGGAAGAAUGUACUGCGGAUUGUAAACCUCUUUUGUCAGGGGAUAAAGUCGGCCACGGGUGCCUGUAUGAGUGUACUUUGUGAAUAAGCAUCGGCUAACUCCGUGCCAGCAGCCGCGGUAAUACGGAGGAUGCGAGCGUUAUCCGGAUUUAUUGGGUUUAAAGGGUGCGUAGGGGGCGUGUUAAGUCAGCGGUAAAAUGUUGGGGCUCAACCGUAACGGGCCAUUGAGACUGGCAUGCUUGAGUUGAAGAGAGGUAGGCGGAAUUCGUGGUGUAGCGGUGAAAUGCAUAGAUAUCACGAAGAACCCCGAGUGCGAAGGCAGCAUACCAACCCGACACUGACGCUGAGGCACGAAAGCGUGGGUAUCGAACAGGAUUAGAUACCCUAGUAGUC
rnacentral:rRNA from 1 species